AACCACACUAUCAAUGAAUGGAUUCACCCGCGAUAUGAUGUGGCUGUUUCACAUAGGACGAGGACAUGACAUCCUAUUACCAGCCAUCUCACGAAAUUAAUAGGAUAUACCACGUCAUCAUCCUAGAUGGAGCAACCACAUCAUCUCACGGGUGAAUCCAUUCAUCGAUAGUGUGGUU
rfam:Oryza meridionalis cultivar OR44 (W2112) chromosome 10, whole genome shotgun sequence.